AUUCAUAGAGUUCUGGAAGCGCCAACAGGUCGUCCUCGCCUGGGAGUGGAAUCUGAGCAACGUCGACACCCUCACGGAAGUCGUGAAUCCGGAAUACGAAGCCAAGGCCCGGGUUUACAAGCUUAACCCCGUCACCCUCAGGUACGAGCCCCACGUGCCCUUCUGGGAGAGGAUUGGUCGAGUCGCCGCUGCCAAUAUCAUUCUCCUGUUCAUGGUG